rnacentral:lncRNA from 1 species
UGAAGCUUCACAACUUACAGCAGGGAGAAGCAGGCGAGGCUGCCAAGGGUCACGGAAGGAUGGUGGCUCCAUCCAUCUCAGCAGCUUCCAGAGUAGCUCGUGGAAAGCUACAGCAUCACACCCUCGACUGCAGCAUCCACAACCACUGGGUACAAAGCAGCCUCAUGGUUGCCAACAGACUGAAGUGCUCGCCUUGCUAUGGGAUAAGUGUCAUCAGCACUCUGGAGAAGCAGCCAUAGCUGCUCUCAAGAACCUUGGUGGGGAAGAAGAGACAUGCAGUUGCACAGAAGAAACAGGAACUGUU